GCUCCAGGCAUGUUUAAAUUUGGCUCCAGGGGCAGCCAGCGGCUGGAGCUGCAUGGUGCAGAUAAAACACCACAGCCAGAACCAGGACGGCAGGGAUUGUAAUUCCCAACAGGAGCUUUAGAUCCGUCCCUAGGAAAGAACCUUGAUGUGAAUGGCCUCUCCAAGCAGCCACUGGCAAGUCCCCACUGGCUGGAGCUGGCUGAGUCCUGUGGUCUCAUCUGGCAGAGGAGGCACAGAAGGCAAUUCCAGGCCCAGGCUAAGGGAAGGUCCUGGAGCAGCAGCAGGG